GAAAAUUUUACUCUAGCUGCCAUUUUGUAAGUGGUGAGAAAAAGGUGAAGAAAUCUUGGAUUAUGCCUUUAUCAACACGUUAAAGAUUUAAGAGUUGUUUUAGCCGUGUAACAAAAUGGUUCUUGAAUGACUUUGUGUGUGCGCGCGCCUGAAGGUGCGUAUUGGCGCAUGGGGAGUUUUACAUCAGUGUAGCAGGUUAGCCUUCCAUUAACCUUUUUAUCCGUUUAGGAGCAACGGUAAGGCAGCCAUUUUGUGGUUUUAUUUUUAUCCAGUUUUUGACGAUUUUGUAAUAAGGGAAAUGGGAAUAAUUGUAUAUGGUCAGUGAAAAGUGAAGAUGUUCCUUUUUUGUUUUGUUUGUUUGUGUAGCUACAGUGAGUGGGCACAGAUAAGUUCCAGUGUUCAGCCUAUGUGUUUUGCAGUUUAGCACCUGUGGACAAAGUACAGGCACAAAAGGCCAACGAUCAUUGUAACUUUUUUUUGUUUGUUUUGCUUUUUAUUUCCAAACAGCCAAUGUCGUAUUGUGUACCCUAGCUUCUGUGUACUAAAUACAUACAAGUGUAUGAGUACAGCUGGACGUUAAAAAAUAAAUACAUGGUUUCAAUUGACGUGCCUGGGUUCCUUUUACUCAUAUGUAAAAGGAGUGACCCACUAGGGCCUCAAAUAUUCACAGGCCACAGCAUUAUCAAUUAUUUAUUUUUAUUUAUGUAGGGACCCUAAAAAGGGAAAGGAACCCCGUAUUGUUUGUGUAUUAUUUUUAGUUGUUGUUUAUUAUUAUUGUUGUUGUUAUAAUUAUUGUUAUAAUUAUUGUUAUAAUUAUUGUUAUUAUUAUUAUACUGGGUAAAUACUCUACUUCCCAGAACUCUUCGAGUUUCGCGCCAGUUUUCUUGCUGGCUCGGCCGGUCUCUCACCAAGGCGAGCAAUCAGAUGGCUGCUAGGCUUGAGCGACAUUGUCGCUGACCUAUCCGUGAUUAGGAGGAGGGACUAGACUGGGACGUUUGGGAAGGUUUUUGGGCUGGAAUGAGAGAAUGAGAGAGAUGCAAUGUACCCCAGAAGUUGCGGUUGUCGGAGACUCAAUAUACGCUGUAUAUAGGCCAAAACUAACUACUCCCCUUGGCUUUAAAGUCUAACGGUGUUUGUUAGCGUGAAAGUAUAUUCUCUGCUGUGCCUUUGUUUCGGUUCUGUGACGAGUUAGCCGUAUUCGGUUGAAGAGCUAACUACAGCUCCAGGCUAUACCACUGAACUGGCUACUUCUCAGCGAAGAAAACUGAAUUCUCCACCCUGCUGCUUGUGUGGAUGUACAAGGAGGACCAGAGUCUUAACAAAAAUCAUCGCAUUUAUGUCGUGUGAGAAGCUGAGAAAAGACGCAAAUAGCUGCACGUUGCGGACGCUAUGGCUCAUAUCUAUAGGUGUCAGGGACUCGUGAGUACCGGACCAAGCAGCUCCGUCUUUCUCAAAUACUUCGUUCGGCAUUCUUCAAAUGUACCAACGUUUUGGGCCCUAACGAGUUAUAAUACAAACGCUUGUGAACAUCCACGUGCUAAACUGGACAUGGCCCAAUUCUGGUUCACGGUUGCAUUUGCUGUAGUGACUAUUUAUUAUUGAGCGUUUCAUUUGCUAAUUUUCCGUGUUUAUUCAGUUGACUAAUUUAAAACCGAAGCCUCGGAGGGUAAGAUAAAUAUUAGUAUUGGUGUAUUGUUUUGCAUGUUGCUUCUUUUUGUUGUUUUCCCCCGCCACUUGUGACGUUAAUAUGUAACUGCAUUGCUCAGUCAUACGUUGAAUCGGUUUUAGUUGUGUGUGACUUGCUUCUGUUAUUUCGCCAUUGCUUUCCUUUGUGCAGAAAUAUAUGUGCAUUUUUUAUAUUAAGUGUCGUUUGGGGUAUUUACUAACCCGUGAGUCAUUCUGGUCACUAAGCACGAGGGGUUUAAAAGGUUUUAUUACUAUCAACAUAAUUAAAGUAGACACAUUUUUGGAGGCUCCGCGCUAACUUACAUUGAUCUAACACGAAAUGAUACGUUCCCCCUAUUUGAUGAGGGUCCCUUUAGGGAGGGGUUACAUUUAUAUCAUUCACAUCACUAUUCCUUUUCACAUUUGUUAUCUACUGUUAAUGUCAUUGUUGUCUCAACCAGAGAGGCAUGUUACCAUUUUGUGGAGUUGGUUCCUCUUGAUGUUGUUACUCUCUGCAUCAGGGAGUUUUUACACACCACUGUUGCCUCUGGCUUGCUCUAUUGGGGCUAGGACCUGGACGUAUGUAAAUCUGCUUUGUGACCAACAGCUGUUGUAAAAAGUACUAUUAUAAAUAAACUUUUGCUUUGCUCUUCCCAAAUUUUCAAACCAUGGCCAAUGUCUUAUGCCAUGGUGGAAACAGAGCUCCAGUAUCUCCUCAGAGACAAAAUCAUAGAAACAAUUAAGUUCUGAGAGUGGGCAGCUCCAAAACAACCUAUUGUCACACAUGUGGGAGCUGUAUCUGCAGGAAUUAUAAAUCAUUAAGAAUGCCUCCAACCUCAAACAGUUCCCAAUCCCAAAGAUUGAGGAUCUGCUAUCUGAUCUAGCCGGAGCAAAAAGUAGAAUAUGAGCCAGGCAUACCAACAAAUUGUGUCGGAGGAUAAGGAUGCUGAAAUUAUGUAACAGUGAACACAUGAGCCUGUACACCUACUGUCAUUUAGCAGUUGGUGUGUCUUUUAGCCCCACCUUAUUUCGGGGAACCAUGGACAUACUGGGGGAAAAACUGAAGCCAAAAACCAACAAAGUAGAUGAAGUGCUGAACAGAUUGGGAGAGUGGCCUCAUGCUCAAUAGACGUGAGUGCAGUUUCUUAAAAAAGUGAUGUUUUAACAUAGCUGGCCGUGUGAGGGAGUGAGAGCAUUGUUACAAGGCUGAGCCAUAAUGACAAAGGUACAAUUAAGGCAAACCAGUCUCAAAGUCCAGCAAAACAAACAAAGGCAGAAUUCAGAAAUGUACAACUCGAUAGCCAGUGAGCACCAGGCUGCCAUACUUCACAAUAGUAGGCACUUCUGUGUCCCAUAAUCUGUGUGACGGCACACCCGGACUGGCCCAUAAACCGAACUCGGUGGAGCAGCAGGCAUAAAUGGUCAGGAGCUAGAGCAUUCAGAGAGAAACACAACACAUACAUAUUGGAGCCUAGGAAAGUGCCUAUAGAGGAGCCGGUCUCCACUGCUCUGCAUUGUGUAUUUGAGGGCGUACUCAGGAUACUUGAGUGCUAGUACUAACCACAGAUGUUACAGAAUGCUCUGGAUGAAUAAAACAAAUGUACUGGGAAAGCUAGAUCAAAGCCCCUCUCUGUCUGGAUUUUGCCUCUUUCUUCAGCCAUCUAGCAAAUUGGUUGGAUGUAUUUAUGUAUAGUAUUUGUAUGUAUAGUGCAAUUGUUUUUAUUAUUUAUUUUUUUAGAUGAAUAGUCAUUGUAAAAUUGCUUUAGGAUACUCUGUGGGGUUAAUAAUGAUCAUAGUUUGAAAAUAUUGCUGGCUGAACUGCAUUUGACUUGAGAAAAUAUUGAAACAGACGGAGUUAUGGAGUCAGCUAACAGAAAUGUGGAAGACUUGCAGGGACUGGAGGAGGGAAGUUACCUAUGAUAAACUACCAUUUCUAUCACAUGAUGUCUGAUCACAAAUAUGGAUCUGGUGUGCCUUAGGUGCAAAAGUUCUUAUUCAGCAGUGGAGUACAUCAGCACUAUAAAGGAUGUGGUAAGAGGGGUCACAUUAUGCAGGCAUGACCCAGCACAGUUAGUGUGGAGCCAGACCAUUCUAAAAAAAGGACCUGGGCUCUUUGGAAUAUCUUUGGAAUACAAUAUGAAUAGUAUUUCUCAAAAAAGUGCAUACAAAACCACAAAUUACUAUAAAAGUGAUUCCAGUGCAUCAAAUCAUAUUACAUGCUCAAUUAACAAGUGCAAAUUGUAACUCAACUUCCACUGCAAAUUAAAAAUGUUAUGUAUAGAAAAAGAUACUAAGGCACACGUACAUGAAAUAUCCCUUGACAAUGUAGCCAGAUUGCAAGCCUUGUAUUUAGUGUUCUGUUCAGAUUUUUAAUGCAUAAUUUUUUAGGUAAAUGGUUUCAAGACAUAAGAACCAAUAAAAAAACUUUUAACUUACUAAAGCAGUAUAAAACAUAUCUGGGUGAAUAAAUCAGAUGCAUUGAUAGAUGCACAAAGUCUGUUAAGCUAUCUGCAAGCACCUCUCAAAACAGUCCCACUUAGACCUGCUGGGUAUGCAUCUCAUCUGGUCCAGUCAAGCUCACCUGAUUUUUAACAUGCCACAUCUGAUCAUCAACUCCCUUCCUAUCAGACCAAGCUUUCAGCCUAACUCUUCCCAGAGCUUCCCAGACUGUUCAGCUGUAUAAACCCUGGACUGCAUUGACUUCGUUCUGGACAACUCACUGAUAGUCCUUACAUGGUCAACAUUCAAGCAGCCAGUUCUGCAAACCAAUAAAGACCUCAUGCAAUUGGA